CUUUUCUUCUGAUAACAGACAUUUGUUUGUGAACCUACUACAAACAGUCUCAGCAGCAAGCACCGCUCUGACUUUGAAGUCUGGAACUUGGAAAAUGUGCAGUCAUUUGAUACUACCACCUUCUUUUCUGAAUCUGCCAAGCAGUUUCUUCCUAAAGAUGAAAAACUAGAUUCAAGAAGCUUAAGAACUUGCACGGAGGAAAGUAGUGAAGUAAAAGUUUCCUCCAUAACGUAGGGGGAGCCCAAGUCUGUACCUUUUCUCUUUCUCUUUCUGCCUUUCAGAAUAAAGACCAGGA